AACUUAACACAUGCAAGUCGAGCGGUAACAUUUCUAGCUGCUAGAAGAUGACGAGCGGCGGACGGGUGAGUAAUACUUAGGAAUCUACCUAGUAGUGGGGGAUAGCACGGGGAAACUCGUAUUAAUACCGCAUACGACCUACGGGAGAAAGGGGGCAGUUUACUGCUCUCGCUAUUAGAUGAGCCUAAGUCGGAUUAGCUAGAUGGUGGGGUAAAGGCCUACCAUGGCGACGAUCUGUAGCUGGUCUGAGAGGAUGAUCAGCCACACCGGGACUGAGACACGGCCCGGACUCCUACGGGAGGCAGCAGUGGGGAAUAUUGGACAAUGGGGGAAACCCUGAUCCAGCCAUGCCGCGUGUGUGAAGAAGGCCUUUUGGUUGUAAAGCACUUUAAGCAGUGAAG
rnacentral:rRNA from 1 species